CGGAGCUCAGCCUUAGUCUCGCGGAGCUCAGCCUUAGUCUCGCGAAAUUGAGCGAGGUUACGGAAGCCGAAAGGAUUGGGCCAAGCUUUUCUGGAGCUAAGGGAAGACUGCGGAUUUGAGGCCGUGGAGAUAUAAAGAUAAACAGAACAAAACAAAACAAAAAAACCCUGGUUCUUGGCUGGCACACAGUUCAAUGGAGGAGUAGACAUAAGAAGAAACAAAUAUGGCACAGUGUAUAUUUUCUGGACUUCAACCUGAAACUGCUAUCAGAUAUCUUGACACUUCGAAUAAAGUCUACACAUAAGAGAACAGAGCUGAGAGAUGGAAAGAUGCUGAAUCCCAAUGACAUCCUUUGAAAUGCUGGGUGAAGCUGGGCCUGAAGAUAGAGCUACCUCUAUAGUUUUCAGAUACUUAUGUCAAUAAAUACUC